rnacentral:rRNA from 1 species
UUAGAGAUGAAGUUUGGGGAUGAGGAGUAAGAUCACGUCUGAAAGUCAGAGCAGAAUGGCAGAUCUUGUACAUCCUAGAGGGUCAUGUUUUUAAUAGAUAUGACACAAAAAUCUUACCUAUCGGUAGUAAACACCUCGUACACCGCCAUAGUAGUUAAGGAUAGACUCUUUAUCAACUCCAAAAAUUUGGGAGAAAUUAGGUCAAGGCGCGGGUUAUACUUUAGGGAUAAAUGUGAUCCAUUCUUACAUAGGAAACAUCUUAUGCUCUGGAAGAGCACUUCCUUGUACCGAAUCUAGAAGUAAGGAAACUUCACAAAAUUUACCUGAAGGUUGUUAACUUGAUGGU